CGUAAUUUGGUCCACUCAGUAAAGACCUACUACGUUCAGUAACUGAUUUGGGUGGAAAUGGGCUGAACUAAUUGGCAACCCCUUUCGAAUUCCAGCUCCAUGUUUUCUGCACAGAACCUUCACCACGUUGUGUUAGCACUUUCCCUGCAAAACUUUCGUGUUCUUUCAGAAGUUGAAUCUCAUGAGAAUAAGGAAGGUCGGUACCUAGUUAUGAUCUAUUGGCUCCCCAACUGUUUAAAUAGAGACAACUCCCACAGAUCAGAAACUUUAUUAAAGUCUAUAAUUUUGGAGGGGUAAAAGAAACUUGUUGGAAACCUUCAGGAAGUGCACACCCUCUACAAAAUUCACACCUCGUGCAAGUUCGAAUGGGUUGAAACGUGAAAUGCAAGAAUGACACACCUUGAGCAGAACCCAAACCUUGUGCAUUUGACACUUCUUAUCAAGACCAUGACACCUUGCCACCAUACCUAGGAUUUGGUUUGUGAAACUCGUGCUCGCUGUAAGGAUUUGGUUUGUGGAAGUCGUGGGCACUACUAGCUCUAUUUAGGGCACUCACUUUGCAGUCUGUUUAGGGUGCUCACUCGUGCUCGCAAGGUCUCAUUUUGAGUGAGGUCAUUUAGAUUGCUAGGUGUCCUUUGAAUGCUUAAUGGCUAGGUAGCUAGGUGUCUGUUGUAAUGUGUAUAACACUAUGGCAAAUGUAACAAUGUUCUGGUUUUUGUUUUAUUAUUGUGUGUUCUGAGCUUUGAGGAGUCACUGUCUUGCACCAUUUUUUAAAACAAGUUAAUAAAAAAUUGAAUAGUACCCACAUUGUUAUUUAUUCAUGCUGAAUUAUUCAUAAGUAGAUAUAUUAUAUAUAUUAAUGAAAACAGUACAAGUGGUACUAAUUUACAAAUAGCCUAGCAUCAAUGAGAGCAAACAUAUGGUUAGCUAAUACAAUAUACAGAAUAAGUAUUAGAGAACCAAAUAUCUGGCUAUUAGCUAUGUAACCACCCACCAAGCUUCCUAGGCUCAAUGGAGAGUUUGAGAAACUUGGACCUUAGCUUAAGUGGGUUCAUGGGAUUAAUCCCUCAUCAACUAGGAAACCUCUCAAACCUGCAACACCUUAAUCUUGGAUACAAUUAUGCUCUUCAGAUAGAUAACCUUAAUUGGAUAUCAAGACUAUCUUCCUUAGAGUACCUUGAUUUGAGUGGUUCAGACCUUCAUAAACAAGGUAACUAGCUUUAAGUAGUGAGUGCACUUCCAUCUCUUUAAGAACUACACUUGGAGAGCUAUUAAAUUGAUAACUUAGGACCACCAAAAGGAAAAACCAACUUCACACAUCUCCAAGUCCUUGAUCUUUCUAAAUCUCAGUAAUAAUACCUUUACUUGUACAAUUCCCUCACCAUUUGCAAACUUGUCAUCCUUGAGAACUUAAACCUGGCUCACAUCCGACUAAAUGGAACCAUUCCUAAGAGUUUUGAGUUCCUAAAAAACAUGUAGGUAUUAAAUCUUGGAGCUAAUUCUUUGACUGGUGAUAUGCCUGUAACUCUUGGAACUAUGUCAAAUUUAGUGACGUUAGACCUUUCAUCUAAUUUGUUAGAAGGAUCUAUAAAAGAAUCAAAUUUUGUAAAACUUUUGAAAUUAAAGGACCUAUGUUUGUCUUGGACAAACUUGUUCCUCGGUGAAUGAUGCCACACUACCGCAGUGAAGGGGCACGCAUGCACGCCACACUGUGCUAGCUAGCCUUUUAGUGAGAUACUCUAUGAUUUUGGCAUGGCAAUUAAUCAGUUUUGUUAUUAUUACAUAUGAGAGAGAGAGAGAGCCAUAUAUAUAUAGACAUUGAUCUAAGUGUGAAGCAUUUAAAUGUGAUAAGGCCAAAAGGUAUCAUUGGAUAGAGCCACAUAAGUUAUUGCUGAGUGCAAAUGAAAGUCGUCACCAUAUGAUAUAUGGCAUAAUAAUAGCACCGUGUUCGUGUUGAAAGUCCAUUGCACCUAGAGACAUAUGAUACCUUACCCAUGACUCAGUGGACUUGUAUCCAAUAUGCAGAGGCACAUAUCAUCUUCAUAAAGCUGUUAGUUUGACAAAAUAGUAAGAAAAGCAGGGUCAAAUUAUGAGAAAACAUGGAUAAAUUGUGUACCAAUUACUAGAAAAGAGUAAUGGCAAAAAAUAAGUACAAUGGUUGAAAAUACAUACAUAUUUGGAUGGAAGAACUACAAAGAGCAUGAUUCACAAUUUCAACUAGUUCUUGAUGUCUAAGCAUUAAAGUAGUAAAAGCUAAGGUAGUCUAGUCCUAUAAAGUUACCAUCAUGCAAAACAACCAAGGAAGGGUUAAACCCAUUAUCCACCUCUGUAGACUAUAGUAUGUAGCCUUACCUUGCAUUUGCAACCGGGUUAAAUCCACAAUUAAACCUUACCUCUAGGUCACAUGUUGGCAAGGCUUCUUUUGCUCAAAGGUUCAAAGCAUCAAGCCGACAAUGGAAAAAUCUAGUUUGACUGUGCAAUGGUCAAAAAACUUUUGCUUGAGUGAGUACUUGUAUUUUAAGCGUUUAUAUUUUUAAUCUACAAAAUUCCAUCUCUAAAUCCUUUUCAUAAUAGCUGUAAAAUUUUCAAGUUCUUCAAGCAAGGUUUCAAUUAUUCCAAUUCAAUGAUGACUGCCCAAAAUAUUCUUAACCGUACCAUAUAAUACUAUUAGUAAGAGGAAUACAAUUUUAUGUAUCUCAUUCUUGUUUAUGCCUUCUCUUUGGCAUAUAAUUGUAGGCAUUGAAAAGUGUUGAAGAAACUUUUCAAUUGAAGAAACUAUUAUAAGACUUGAAAAGUUUCUUCAACAGUUGCAUGUAUAAAGCUCUAGUUCUAGAAAAGAGCAUUUGAAAGCAGCUUGUUCUGACUUAGAGAAAAUACGGAAACUUUGGAAAUAAGCUGAAUUCCUGGAGGCAUCUUUUAGAGCAAAAGCUAAUUCUCUGCAAGAGGAAGAACAACCAAGUGGGCUUGCAACCCCAAUUACAUCGCCAACAUCAGUAAAAGCCAAGCCACAGCCAGUCUCUGCUCCUUCAACAAAGGCAAAUGGCUACACCACCCAGCUCUCCUCCUCUUCCUCCUCCUACUGGUGCAGCAUCAUAGUCGCCAUCCACCUUGAAGUGGACAAGAAAAGCCAUAUGGCUAAGAUUAUUGGCGACUAGACCAGUUGGGGCAAAGAGACCGCUGGUCCAUGUUGAUCCUGCGACCGAGAAGGCUGACGGUCCCCACAGAAAGAAGUUAAUAACAUAUUUGGGGAUCGCCGCUCGUGAUAAGGUCGAUGUCACAUGCGAGAAUUGGAAACAAGUCCCUGCUGCUCAGAAGGAUUUGAUAUGGGAGGAUAUUCAACUGAAUUUGAUGUCCCUGAAGCAUCUGAUCUGAGGACACAAAAGAAAAUACUUCAGACUGUGAGGGAGCGGUGGAGACAAUUCAAGUCUGAUUUGACGUCGAAAUGGGCACUUGCAGCCAACAAGGAAAGUGUUGACGACACUGUAUGCGAAAAGUACAACAUUAGCAAGGAGAAGUGGGCCCAAUUUUGUCAGACCCACAAAGACCCUUUGUGGGAGAUGUGCGAAAAAUGGCACAAGCCAUCCAGAAGCAAAACACUACCCCUCACAUGUUGUCUUGUGGGGGUUAUCAAUAUUUAGAAAACAAGUUGAUGGAUGAAAAGAGAAAGAAAAAAUUGGAGGAAGUUGCUAAAUCCGGAAUCACUGACACCAUGAUUGAUCCUUCAUCUCCCAUCAAACGACAUGUGAAAUGGAAGAUGGUCCGCACCAAGAAAACUGGGCAAAUGACGUCUGAGGCAGCAAAGGAAAUUGCUAACAAGAUUGAUUCGUUGGAGGACCAGGCCUCAUAGGGUUCCAUUGUUGCCCAUGGACGUCAGGAUAUACUGACUGCUGCCAUUAGGCGACCAGAACACCCUGGUCGUAUGGGUGCUGUUGGAGCUGGUGUCACGAUCAAGCAAUACUUUGGACCGUCUCCAAGGACCUCCCACACGUCUUCCUCCAUGGCUCCCAAAGACCUAGAGCAGUUGACGCAACAAAUCAGGGACCAACUGGAGGAGUCGAUCAUAGAAAAAGUGACUCUACAGCUAAUCUUAUCCUUCAGUCAGAUGCAGUCCCAGUUUCAGUCGUAGAUGCAACCACAGGGACUCGCACUGCCUCCUGAGCCUGAGGUUGGUCCUUCAGAUGCUCGUGUCAGCAUAAAGGAAAGUUUCAUUGAUCCCUCAGGGAAUGAUCUAAACACGGGUGACUCAGACAAAUACGGGUUGUACAUCAAAGAAAAUCCUCCCCGCCCGGUUGCCCUGGGAAGAGUUUAUAAGGGAUCCACAACCGCUCACAACAUUCCUUUGUUGCAUGAUCAAGUCAAGGUUGGUGUUGAGGAGGUUAGAGAUGCAGAUGCUCUCAUUCUUGUACCCACUGAAUACGUUAAGUUAGUGGGGGAGACACUUAACACAUUCCUUGCUUGGCCGACACAUCUUGUCAAGCGUUUAUCAGAACAAGUAUUCCAAUGUCAUUAAAUGCUUCUUUUUCAAUUAAAGUGUUCAUUGUAAUUAAA